GGACAGGAGGGUCACCCCACUGACUGCCAGCUGACUUGGCAGGCUAGGGGGUUGUCCCCUUACUCCUUCCCUGCUCCAUGUGCAUCCCUCCCAAAGCUUCUCGUGCUUAGUUGAAGAGGACAACCUUCCCCAAGCAGAGGAGGACUGGGUCUUCGGUCAGGGGUAUAGGAAUAGCUGAGCUCCCCUGCUAGAGCCUCCAAACAAGAACCUAUCAAUCCCUGUAUUUGUAAAUGUUUUACUCAAACAGACGGCAAAUUCUGCCAAGAAGAAACAGGGCAUCUUUGGUCUAUUUUCGCUU
rnacentral:snRNA from 1 species